rnacentral:rRNA from 1 species
GGUGAAAAGCACCCCGGAAGGGGAGUGAAAUAGAACCUGAAACCGUGUGCUUACAAGUAGUCAGAGCCCGUUAAUGGGUGAUGGCGUGCCUUUUGUAGAAUGAACCGGCGAGUUACGAUUUGAUGCAAGGUUAAGCAGUAAAUGUGGAGCCGUAGCGAAAGCGAGUCUGAAUAGGGCGUUUAGUAUUUGGUCGUAGACCCGAAACCAGGUGAUCUACCCUUGGUCAGGUUGAAGUUCAGGUAACACUGAAUGGAGGACCGAACCGACUUACGUUGAAAAGUGAGCGGAUGAACUGAGGGUAGCGGAGAAAUUCCAAUCGAACCUGGAGAUAGCUGGUUCUCUCCGAAAUAGCUUUAGGGCUAGCCUCAAGUGAUGAUUAUUGGAGGUAGAGCACUGUUUGGACGAGGGGCCCCUCUCGGGUUACCGAAUUCAGACAAACUCCGAAUGCCAAUUAAUUUAACUUGGGAGUCAGAACAUGGGUGAUAAGGUCCGUGUUCGAAAGGGAAACAGCCCAGACCACCAGCUAAGGUCCCAAAAUAUAUGUUAAGUGGAAAAGGAUGUGGCGUUGCCCAGACAACUAGGAUGUUGGCUUAGAAGCAGCCAUCAUUUAAAGAGUGCGUAAUAGCUCACUAGUCGAGUGACACUGCGCCGAAAAUGUACCGGGGCUAAACAUAUUACCGAAGCUGUGGAUUGUCCUUUGGACAAUGGUAGGAGAGCGUUCUAAGGGCGUUGAAGCAUGAUCGUAAGGACAUGUGGAGCGCUUAGAAGUGAGAAUGCCGGUGUGAGUAGCGAAAGACGGGUGAGAAUCCCGUCCACCGAUUGACUAAGGUUUCCAGAGGAAGGCUCGUCCGCUCUGGGU